rnacentral:rRNA from 1 species
AGGACGAACGCUGGCGGCGUGCUUAACACAUGCAAGUCGAGCGGUAAGGCCUUUCGGGGUACACGAGCGGCGAACGGGUGAGUAACACGUGGGUGAUCUGCCCUGCACUCUGGGAUAAGCCUGGGAAACUGGGUCUAAUACCGGAUAUGACCUGCUCUCGCAUGGGGGUGGUGGAAAGAUUUAUCGGUGCAGGAUGGGCCCGCGGCCUAUCAGCUUGUUGGUGGGGUAAUGGCCUACCAAGGCGACGACGGGUAGCCGACCUGAGAGGGUGACCGGCCACACUGGGACUGAGACACGGCCCAGACUCCUACGGGAGGCAGCAGUGGGGAAUAUUGCACAAUGGGCGAAAGCCUGAUGCAGCGACGCCGCGUGAGGAUGAAGGCCUUCGGGUUGUAAACCGUACUUUCAGCAGGACGAAGACGCAAAGUGAACGGUACCGUAGACGAGAAAGAAGACAACCGGCUAACGUAACGUAGCCAGAGCCGC